UACGUAGGGUGCAAGCGUUAUCCGGAAUUAUUGGGCGUAAAGAGCUCGUAGGCGGUCUGUCGCGUCUGCUGUGAAAACUGGAGGCUCAACCUCCAGCCUGCAGUGGGUACGGGCAAACUAGAGUGCGGGUAGGGGAGAUUGGAAUUCCUGGUGUAGCGGUGGAAUGCGCAGAUAUCCGGAGGAACACCAGAGGCGAAGGCGGCGCGCUGGGCCGGUACUGACACUGAGGAGCGAAAGCGUGGGUAGCAAACAGG
rnacentral:rRNA from 1 species